ACUACCACCAGGGUCAUAAAACUACUACUGGAAAUGCCCACAACUCCUAGGAAAGCCUUGUCCAAUAUGCGUGCUGGGGCGAUGAAAUUAUCAGGACUGCGAUGCUUAGGCCUACUCAGGAUAAUUACAUUGGUCAGUUGGAGUAUUUCUUUAUUUCCAUCCUCCUCAUCUCACAUAUAGCAAAGACAGGACACACAUCUUUUCCUUCUUCUUACUAAACAUAAUUAAUUUCCCCUUCUACAGGCAUCGUUUUUUUCCUUUUCAAUCUUCCUAACUUACUGUCACACUCUGUAUUAAAUUCUAUACCUUCAGAUGCUCCGUAAUUCUUUCUUUCCCUUCUUCUAAUUAUCUAACAUCCUUAUUUCCUUCUAUUUCUUCCUUUUUAAUCUUCCUAACUUACUGUCACACUCUGUAUUAAAUUCUAUACCUUCAGAUGCUCCGUAAUUCUUUCUUUCCCUUCUUCUAAUUAUCUAACAUCCUUAUUUCCUCCUAUUUCUUCCUUUUCAAUCUUCCUAACUUACUGUCACACUCUGUAUUAAAUUCUAUACCUUCAGAUGCUCCUAGUAAUUCCUAUUUUUCUUCUUCUAAUUAUCUAACAUCCUUAUUUUCUUCUAUUUCUUCCUUUUUAAUCUUCCUAACUUACUGUCACACUCUGUAUUAAAUUCUAUACCUUCAGAUCCUCCUAGUAAUUCCUAUUUUUCUUCUUCUAAUUAUCUAACAUCCUUAUUUUCUCCUAUUCCUUCCUUUUUAAUCUUCCUAACUUACUGUCACACUCUGUAUUAAAUUCUAUACCUUCAGAUCCUCCUAGUAAUUCCUAUUUUUCUUCUUCUAAUUAUCUAACAUCCUUAUUUUCUCCUAUUUCUUCCUUUUCAAUCUUCCUAACUUACUGUCACACUCUGUAUUAAAUUCUAUACCUUCAGAUGCUCCUAGUAAUUCCUAUUUUUCCUUCUAAUUAUCUAACAUCCUUAUUUUCUCCUAUUUCUUCCUUUUUAAUCUUCCUAACUUACUGUCACACUCUGUAUUAAAUUCUAUACCUUCAGAUGCUCCUAGUAAUUCCUAUUUUUCUUCUUCUAAUUAUCUAACAUCCUUAUUUUCUCCUAUUCCUUCCUUUUUAAUCUUCCUAACUUACUGUCACACUCUGUAUUAAAUUCUAUACCUUCAGAUGCUCCUAGUAAUUCCUAUUUUCCUUCUUCUAAUUAUCUAACAUCCUUAUUUUCUCCUAUUUCUUCCUUUUUAAUCUUCCUAACUUAGUCAUUCUUUCCGCCAGUUAAAUUAUAUACUUCCUAAUCCUCCUUGUAACUCAAAUCUCCUUUUCCUUUCCAAUUUAUCAGCUUAAAAAUACCUUUGGCAUGGCAGGACCUAUUGACAUGAGGUAAUAAUAAUAAUAUCUGUGCAGUGGAUCAUAAAUAUUGAAGGUUUUGUUACGAGCUAUCACAACAGGCCUUACAGACACAUGGUAUACAGAAGUCCCAGUAUUUGGUAGUAGAAAAAUUCACAACACGAGGAGGUCACUCAGUCCCUCAUAUACAACACAAGGUCAGCCAGCCAGUCCCUUAUAUACAAAACAAGGUCAGCCAGUCAGUCCCUUAUAAACAACACAAGGUCAGCCAGCCAGUUCCUUAUAUGCAACACAAGGUCACUCAGACCCUUAUACAUAACACAAUGAGGUCAGCCAGCCAGUCCCUUAUAUGCAAAACAAGGUCACUCAAUCGCUCAUAAACAACACAAGGUCAGUCAGUCCCUUAUAUGCAACACAAAAAGGUCAGCCAGUUCCUUAUACAUGACACAAGGUUAUCAUGAGGUACUUAAGGGUUGCGUUCGGGUCUGGGUCAUUACAUUAAAACGGUCACUUCGUCUAUACAUGGAAUGGUUCACACCGACUAGCAGACACACACACAAUCGUCUAUAAAUGCCGUGACUUUUCCUGCACUGCCGUGGACCCCAAAUAUCCGUUGCGAUCUGUAUUUUGACGAACUCUUCAGACACACACAAACGUCUAUUAAGUGCUGUAACUCUUCCAGCAUCGCCGUGGACCCCAUACCAA